UCUUUUCUGUGAAGAAAGCAUGAAAAACAACGUGUGGAGAGAAAGAACAGAGGUGUAAUCUGAAGGAGGAGAGAUGACCUCCAAAAUGAGCGUCUCUGUGGAUCAGGACACACAGGAAGCUGAGAGGCUGAUUCAGGGUAAGAGAUCAGACUCACCUGAACUCAGCUGUGUGUCCAUGAAGAGUGACCAGUCAAAGGAGGGAUUAGAAAACUUCAGAGAUGAUAACAGAUCCACAGAGCUCAG